CGAUAUGAUGAUAAAUGGUUGUCGCCCCAGUCUUACAAGCAUCAAUUUGAUGCUUCAUGGUGAUUGACAUCUCUAUAUCUGAUCA